rnacentral:rRNA from 1 species
UCGAAACCUGCAAAGCAGACCCGUGAACAUGUUUAACCGAAUAUGUGGCCGUGAUUCUGGACGUCGCGGCGUCCAUCUCACGGUCCGUACCCAAACGGCGCAAGCCUGUUGGGUUAACUAACCUCUCGGCGCGGCAAGCGUCAAGGAAGAACAGACCGAUCGCCCCUCCGUGUGGGUGCCGUGCUCGGUGCCCCAACACGUGGAGGAGCAUCUACGCAAAAAAUAGUCAUAACGACUCUCGGCAACGGAUAUCUCGGCUCUCGCAUCGAUGAAGAACGUAGCGAAAUGCGAUACUUGGUGUGAAUUGCAGAAUCCCGUGAACCAUCGAGUCUUUGAACGCAAGUUGCGCCCGAAGCCAUCAGGCUGAGGGCACGUCUGCCUGGGCGUCACACAUCUCGUCGCCCCCCAACGUCAUCGUUCCCCGCUUACUGUCGGGAAAGGUGACGCAUGAAGUGUGGGGGGUGGAAGUUGGCCUUCCGUUACCAGCGUGUAGCGGCUGGCCCAAAUACGAAACCGUGCCGAUGAAUGCGACACGAUACGUGGUGGUUGGAUUCCUCAACUUGCGAACUAUCGUGGCGGACUUAUGUCGGGACACGGACAGAGGACCCAACGGCUGAAAAUGCCCUCGACCGUA